rnacentral:rRNA from 1 species
AAAGCUCAAAUUUGAAAUCUAGUACCUUCGGUGCUCGAGUUGUAAUUUGUAGAGGGAUACUUUGGGGCCGUUCCUUGUCUAUGUUCCUUGGAACAGGACGUCAUAGAGGGUGAGAAUCCCGUGUGGCGAGGAGUGCGGUUCUAUGUAAAGUGCCUUCGAAGAGUCGAGUUGUUUGGGAAUGCAGCUCUAAGUGGGUGGUAAAUUCCAUCUAAAGCUAAAUAUUGGCGAGAGACCGAUAGCGAACAAGUACAGUGAUGGAAAGAUGAAAAGAACUUUGAAAAGAGAGUGAAAAAGUACGUGAAAUUGUUGAAAGGGAAGGGCAUUUGAUCAGACAUGGUGUUUUGCGCCCUCCGCUCCUUGUGGGUGGGGGACUCUCGCAGCUCACUGGGCCAACAUCAGUUUUGGUGGUCGGACAAAUCCGUAGGAAUGUAGCUUACCUCGGUAAGUGUUAUAGCCUGCGGGAAUACGGCCAGCCGGGACUGAGGACUGCGACUUUUGUCAAGGAUGUUGGCAUAAUGGUUAUAUGCCGCCCGUCUUG